UGCGCACGUGCAUACGGGUGCACCUGACAGAGGUUGGGAAGAAAUGGCUGCUGGGUUAGGAAAGAUCCCCAACGGGAGACCUACAUGUACAAGUGCAGAUAAGGAGAGAACUUGAGCCGGAGAGGCCAGUGUUUUUCCCAGUUCUUUGGAGUUACAGGGUUCAACAGAAGGGCCUCAAGUUUAUCAUGUGAGAGGUGAGCAACAUUUUCACUGACGACUGAGCUUGGUACACUGAGCACCCUCCAGAGCCUGCAGAGACCCAGCCUCCUUCUAGAGCCACCAAGGUACUAUCCAUUGGCAUCCUUCCAAGAGUAUCCUGUACUGAGCCCUUGGGACAGAAGGGUUUUCCUUGGGGCAGAAGGACUCAUGCAGUUCCCCUGCUGCUAGCACUAGCUCUGGACUAUCUAAAGUCUCUUAUCCUAUAAUAUAAACUCCUGACCUAGCCACGUCUCUAGAAAGCAAUAUUUUACCUUUAAGGAGACCGGAGUUAAGAGCUUUAAAGCAGCCUGCUCCUUGAGUAUGGAGGAUUCUAUGGUAAGACCUUUCUGUGAAUAGGAGCCUCCCUCGCUCAUUUCUGCGCAGCCUUCUCACCAUGACAAGAUUUAUAAGGUGCUCAAUGAGAUUC